UGAACUCCUGACCUCAGGUGAUUCACCCACCUUGGCCUCCCAAAGUGCUGGGAUUACAGGCAUGAGCCAAUACACCUAGACUGAUCUUUCAUUUUUUCAAAGAGAAGGGCAUUCUAAUAGGAACUGAUGCCAAGACAGGAGAAAAGAAGCUAUAACAGAAGAAAUGGCUAGUUACCGUAUUAAAAAGCUCAUCUUUGAGAUCUCCUCUGCAGGAAUAUCAGAGACACUGGAGAGGUAAUAGGUCUAGACAGUACAGAAGAAUAACUGGGGAGUGUGUGAAGAUAGAGUGGGCUCCCACUUGCUUGAAAGGUCUCUGGCAUUUAAUUCUCAAUACUUGAUUACUGUUUUCCAAAGUAAAAUUGGCACAUGUGAUCUGACUACAGGACAGAGAAUUAUAGGUGAAACAUCUUGCCUUACUUGCAGUAAUGGUGUGCUGUUCUUCAGAGUAGCUAAGGCCCUCAGCCCUCUAUGUUUUGCACAGGUAAAUAAGAAUCCAGGAAUGGAGGUCCACCUAUGAUGAGUGGCUUUUUUCUAAUCGAAGUAGUAUAAUGCUGAUCUGUUUUAUCAUCUUGCUUUAAAAAACAAACAACAACAAAAAACCUUAAUUAUAAUAUAGCACAAAGGCCAGGAUUGAUGCAGAGAUUCCUUAAAAAUAGAAAUAUCAGUUCCCUAUCCCUUUUAAAACCUGAUUUUGGAUCUCUCUGUUCUAUGUAUUUCUUUAGCGAGAGCACAAUAAAUGGCAGAACACUGUACCAAAUAUUAUAGGCAAGGAAUAUAGAAAUGAAUGAUUUUUGUUGUGAAGGUGUUUUUCAUGUGAUAUUUUAUAAACACAUUUUU